GGCCGGUUAGCUCAGUUAGUUAGAGUGUCGUGCUAAUAACGCUAAUAACGCGAAUGUCGCGGGUUCGAUCUCCGUACUGGCCA
rnacentral:tRNA from 1 species